AGAGUUUGAUCAUGGCUCAGAUUGAACGCUGGCGGCAUGCCUUACACAUGCAAGUCGAACGGCAGCGCGGGGCAACCUGGCGGCGAGUGGCGAACGGGUGAGUAAUAUAUCGGAACGUACCCUGGAGUGGGGGAUAACGUAGCGAAAGUUACGCUAAUACCGCAUACGAUCUAAGGAUGAAAGUGGGGGAUCGCAAGACCUCAUGCUCCUGGAGCGGCCGAUAUCUGAUUAGCUAGUUGGUAGGGUAAAAGCCUACCAAGGCAUCGAUCAGUAGCUGGUCUGAGAGGACGACCAGCCACACUGGAACUGAGACACGGUCCAGACUCCUACGGGAGGCAGCAGUGGGGAAUUUUGGACAAUGGGCGCAAGCCUGAUCCAGCAAUGCCGCGUGAGUGAAGAAGGCCUUCGGGUUGUAAAGCUCUUUUGUCAGGGAAGAAACGGUCUGUUCUAAUACAGCGGACUAAUGACGGUACCUGAAGAAUAAGCACCGGCUAACUACGUGCCAGCAGCCGCGGUAAUACGUAGGGUGCAAGCGUUAAUCGGAAUUACUGGGCGUAAAGCGUGCGCAGGCGGUUUUGUAAGACUGUCGUGAAAUCCCCGGGCUCAACCUGGGAAUGGCGAUGGUGACUGCAAGGCUAGAGUUUGGCAGAGGGGGGUAGAAUUCCACGUAGCAGUGAAAUGCGUAGAUAUGUGGAGGAACACCGAUGGCGAAGGCAGCCCCCUGGGUCAAAACUGACGCUCAUGCACGAAAGCGUGGGGAGCAAACAGGAUUAGAUACCCCAGUAGUCC
rnacentral:rRNA from 1 species